ACGGAAGGCAGCAGUGAGGAAUAUUGGUCAAUGGACGGAAGUCUGAACCAGCCAUGCCGCGUGAAGGACGAAGGCCCUAUGGGUCGUAAACUUCUUUUGUCCGGGAGUAAUAAGGCGGGUGCGCCCGCCGAUGAGAGUACCGGGCGAAUAAGCAUCGGCUAACUCCGUGCCAGCAGCCGCGGUAAUACGGAGGAUGCAAGCGUUAUCCGGAUUUAUUGGGUUUAAAGGGUGCGUAGGCGGGCCUUUAAGUCAGCGGUGAAAUCCCCCGGCUCAACCGGGGGGGCUGCCGUUGAUACUGGAGGCCUUGAGUCCGAACGGCGCCGGCGGAAUAUGUCAUGUAGCGGUGAAAUGCUUAGAUAUUACAUAGAACACCGAUCGCGAAGGCAGCUGGCGAGGACGGCACUGACGCUGAGGCACGAAGGCGUGGGGAUCAAACAGGAUUAGAUACCCUGGUA
rnacentral:rRNA from 1 species